GCCGGCGUAGCUCAGUUGGUAGAGCAGCUGAUUUGUAAUCAGCCGGUCGGGGGUUCGAGUCCCUUCGCUGGCUCCA
rnacentral:tRNA from 2 species